UCCCUGGAGGACUAGUGGUUAGGCCAUGGUGCUCUCACUGCGGCGGCCCAGGUUUGAUCCCUGGCCAGGGGA